AUAGCACGGGGAAACUCGUAUUAAUACCGCAUACGACCUACGGGAGAAAGGGGGCAGUUUACUGCUCUCGCUAUUAGAUGAGCCUAAGUCGGAUUAGCUAGAUGGUGGGGUAAAGGCCUACCAUGGCGACGAUCUGUAGCUGGUCUGAGAGGAUGAUCAGCCACACCGGGACUGAGACACGGCCCGGACUCCUACGGGAGGCAGCAGUGGGGAAUAUUGGACAAUGGGGGAAACCCUGAUCCAGCCAUGCCGCGUGUGUGAAGAAGGCCUUUUGGUUGUAAAGCACUUUAAGCAGUGAAGAAGACUCCGUGGUUAAUACCCACGGACGAUGACAUUAGCUGCAGAAUAAGCACCGGCUAACUCUGUGCCAGCAGCCGCGGUAAUACAGAGGGUGCAAGCGUUAAUCGGAAUUACUGGGCGUAAAGGGAGCGUAGGUGGCUCUAUAAGUCAGAUGUGAAAUCCCCGGGCUCAACCUGGGAACUGCAUCUGAAACUGUAGAGCUAGAGU
rnacentral:rRNA from 1 species